rnacentral:rRNA from 1 species
AUGGGGAUUGGCAGUGGUGGUACUGUCACCGGCGUCGGCAAGUACCCCAAGGAGAAGAACCCCAAUGCGAAGAUCUAUGGAGUUGAACCUGGCAAAGCAAAUAUUCUGAAUGGUGGCAAGCCAGGGCUUCACCAAAUAACUGGAAAUGGAGUGGGAUUCAAGCCAGACAUUUUGGACAUGGACAUAAUGGAGAAGGUUCUUGAGGUGAAAGGUGAGGAUGCCGUCAAGAUGGCGCUGCAAGAGGGCCUGCCUGCUGAUUACAUUGAAGUGUUGCUGAACUUGUGGAAUUUUCGCAUGUGGGGAUAUCAUCAAUUGCCAACACGGUGGCAGUGA